CACGUAGGGUGCGAGCGUUGUCCGGAAUUAUUGGGCGUAAAGAGCUCGUAGGCGGUGUGUCGCGUCGGCCGUGAAAACCUGCAGCUUAACUGUGGGCUUGCGGUCGAUACGGGCAUCACUGGAGUUCGGCAGGGGAGACUGGAAUUCCUGGUGUAGCGGUGAAAUGCGCAGAUAUCAGGAGGAACACCGGUGGCGAAGGCGGGUCUCUGGGCCGAUGACUGACACUCAUGGACGAAAGCUAGGGGAGCGAAAGGG
rnacentral:rRNA from 1 species